rnacentral:rRNA from 1 species
AGCUACAGGCUUAACACAUGCAAGUCGAGGGGCAGCAUUUUAGUUUGCUUGCAAACUGAAGAUGGCGACCGGCGCACGGGUGAGUAACACGUGUCCAACCUGCCGAUAACUCCGGAAUAGCCUUUCGAAAGAAAGAUUAAUACCGGAUAGCAUACGAAUAUCGCAUGAUAUUUUUAUUAAAGAAUUUCGGUUAUCGAUGGGGAUGCGUUCCAUUAGUUUGUUGGCGGGGUAACGGCCCACCAAGACUACGAUGGAUAGGGGUUCUGAGAGGAAGGUCCCCCACAUUGGAACUGAGACACGGUCCAAACUCCUACGGGAGGCAGCAGUGAGGAAUAUUGGUCAAUGGGCGAGAGCCUGAACCAGCCAAGUAGCGUGAAGGAUGAAGGCUCUAUGGGUCGUAAACUUCUUUUAUAUGGGAAUAAAGUUUUCCACGUGUGGAAUUUUGUAUGUACCAUAUGAAUAAGGAUCGGCUAACUCCGUGCCAGCAGCCGCGGUAAUACGGAGGAUCCGAGCGUUAUCCGGAUUUAUUGGGUUUAAAGGGAGCGUAGGUGGAUUGUUAAGUCAGUUGUGAAAGUUUGCGGCUCAACCGUAAAAUUGCAGUUGAAACUGGCAGUCUUGAGUACAGUAGAGGUGGGCGGAAUUCGUGGUGUAGCGGUGAAAUGCUUAGAUAUCACGAAGAACUCCGAUUGCGAAGGCAGCUCACUAGACUGUCACUGACACUGAUGCUCGAAAGUGUGGGUAUCAAACAGGAUUAGAUACCCUGGUAGUCCACACAGUAAACGAUGAAUACUCGCUGUUUGCGAUAUACAGUAAGCGGCCAAGCGAAAGCAUUAAGUAUUCCACCUGGGGAGUACGCCGGCAACGGUGAAACUCAAAGGAAUUGACGGGGGCCCGCACAAGCGGAGGAACAUGUGGUUUAAUUCGAUGAUACGCGAGGAGCCUUACCCGGGCUUAAAUUGCAACAGAAUAUAUUGGAAACAGUAUAGCCGUAAGGCUGUUGUGAAGGUGCUGCAUGGUUGUCGUCAGCUCGUGCCGUGAGGUGUCGGCUUAAGUGCCAUAACGAGCGCAACCCUUAUCUUUAGUUACUAACAGGUCAUGCUGAGGACUCUAGAGAGACUGCCGUCGUAAGAUGUGAGGAAGGUGGGGAUGACGUCAAAUCAGCACGGCCCUUACGUCCGGGGCUACACGCGUGUUACAAUGGGGGGUACAGAAGGCGGCUACCUGGUGACAGGAUGCUAAUCCCAAAAACCUCUCUCAGUUCGGAUCGAAGUCUGCAACCCGACUUCGUGAAGCUGGAUUCGCUAGUAAUCGCGCAUCAGCCAUGGCGCGGUGAAUACGUUCCCGGGCCUUGUACACACCGCCCGUCAAGCCAUGAAAGCCGGGGGUACCUGAAGUACGUAACCGCAAGGAGCGUCCUAGGGUAAAACUGGUAAUUGGGGCUAAGUCA